GCUGAUGUGGGCCAAUGGCAGGCCACUAGCGAAGUUAGGGAAGGCGGUUCGAUUCCGUCCAUCAGCA
rnacentral:tRNA from 1 species